rnacentral:lncRNA from 1 species
CUUGUUCUGGAAUCUGGAAGCUCUCUCUCCCUCCACCCACCAUCUCUACACCUUGGUAGAAGAAUCCUAGACUUCUUUUGCUCUCCAUCCUACCUCCCCAAGCUGUGUGGUAAAGGCUAGCUCAGUACUUGAUAAAUUGAUCUUAAACUGAACUUUUGCUUUGGUAUUGACCCUGUGAUUCCUUGUUGCCCUCCUUUAGCUCUUAGCCAACAGCUGAGCUAAUAUGACUGAUUUCUCUUGGGGCCAGUGGAGAAACUGGACACCUAUCUCCAUUUUCCAUGCUGAUAUCAUUCACUUUCAUCUCAGGCUAGUUCAUGCUGCUGCCCUAGAUGCAAACGUAUAAUGUGAAACAGCAAAUAGCUGAGCCAAGGAUGGUAUAGAAAUGUAAUGGAAUACCAUUGUGCUGUAAGAAAUGAUGAAAUAGUCAUCUCUGGAGAAACCUAGGAAGACUUGUCUGAACUGAUAUAGUGUGAAGUAAGCAGAACCAAGAGAACAAUUUAUACAAUAAUAGCAACAUUGUAAAAGAGAACUUUUAAAGUCUUAAAAUUUUCAUCAGUGCAAUCAAUUACCAUGAUUCUGGAGGACUGAUGGUGAAGAAUGCUGCCCAUCUCCUGACAGAGAAAUGUUAGACUAAUGUGCAGAAUGAGACACAAAUUUCUGGAUGUGGCCAAUAUAUAGGAGUUGGUUUUGCUUGAUUAUUUUUUCCCCCUUCCAAUUCAGGGGGUGAGACCCAUCAAUGGGAAGAGGGGACAUCCUAAGCCUCCAUCCCGGAGAAGAAACUCAUAUCCUUUAUGCUGGAGGGCUCCACUUUGUCUUCUGGAAGUAUUAUUGAGUGGCUCCCUUCACUUACUUCCUGCUAACCUGGUUGGCAUGAACCUCUGAAAGGCAUGCAUGUAAAUCGUUUUCAGGGAUCCAAAAUGUGGAAGAAGAACAAGAGAAUGACACAGAAAAGAAGAAGGAGGAUGAAAAUGAAGAAGAGGAGAUGGAAGAAGAUAAAGAGGAGCAGGAAGAAGAGGAAAAGAAAAAGGAAGAAGAGGAGGAAGAGAGAGAAAGUAGAGCAAAAUGAGGAGGAAGAGGAAGAAAAGGAAGAAGACGAGGAGGGGGAAGAAGAACAAGAUGAAGAAGAGGAGGAGGAGGUGGAAAAAGAAGAAGAAGGAGAAGAGGAGGAGGAAGAGGAGGAGGAGGAAGAAGAAGAAGCAGAAAAAGAGAAAGAGGAAGGGGGAGGUAUCCAGCAGAAGGAAGAGUCAGCUUCUUUUUUCCCAAAACUUAUCUGCAAGGAUGACUUAACCCAUCCAUCCAGUUGGAUAUCUACCCUACUUUAAAAAGUGCUUCAGUAAAAGAUCUCACAAUAUUUAUUUGUUGAUCUGUGCCAUCAUCUAAUAACUCGUUUGGGUUAAAAACAGUUUGGUAUUCCUUAAGUAGUCUUAAUUCUCUUCCAAGGUUAAUUAAACCCAUUUACCUCCUUAAGGACAGGAGAGAAUAAUCCUCAUCCUUCUCAAGCCUGUCCUUAAUAAGCUUAAAAAGAGACAUCACCCAACAUUCUUCUCAGAAUUCCAUUUUUGUAUCCUAUGUCAUGUAUAUUAUUUUCUGCAUUUCUUCAGGGUUCCCCACAUCUUAUUUUUUUGGUACUAAAUUAAAAAGACAAUUAUUUAUUAUUUAGUGGGGAAUUAUUUACUGGUUCCUAAUUUAGAACUAGAAGGAACCUCAGAGGCCAAUCUAAUCUAAACCCCUUAUUUUACAGUUGUGAAAACUGAGGCCUAGGAGGUGAAGUGACUCUACUUUGAGAAGCAAGAUUCAAACCCAGGUUGAUUGAUUACAAAACCAGUGCUUUCUAAAAAUAUAUUAUGCUGGUUGUCAGGAAAACACUGUACACAGUAACAGCAAUAUUGCAGAAUGAUCAAUUGUGAUAGUCUUAGCUGCUCUCAGCAAGACAAUGAUCCUGGACAAUUCUGAG